rnacentral:rRNA from 1 species
CCUACGGGAGGCAGCAGUGAGGAAUAUUGGUCAAUGGACGAGAGUCUGAACCAGCCAAGUAGCGUGAAGGAUGACUGCCCUAUGGGUUGUAAACUUCUUUUAUAUGGGAAUAAAAUGUUCCACGUGUGGGAUUUUGUAUGUACCAUAUGAAUAAGGAUCGGCUAACUCCGUGCCAGCAGCCGCGGUAAUACGGAGGAUCCGAGCGUUAUCCGGAUUUAUUGGGUUUAAAGGGAGCGUAGGUGGAUUGUUAAGUCAGUUGUGAAAGUUUGCGGCUCAACCGUAAAAUUGCAGUUGAAACUGGCAGUCUUGAGUACAGUAGAGGUGGGCGGAAUUCGUGGUGUAGCGGUGAAAUGCUUAGAUAUCACGAAGAACUCCGAUUGCGAAGGCAGUUCACUGGACUGCAACUGACACUGAGGCUGGAAAGUGUGGGUAUCAAACAGGAUUAGAUACCCGUGUAGUC